rnacentral:rRNA from 1 species
AGUGAACGCUGGCGGUAGGCCUAACACAUGCAAGUCGAACGGCAGCACAGUAAGAGCUUGCUCUUACGGGUGGCGAGUGGCGGACGGGUGAGGAAUACAUCGGAAUCUACUUUUUCGUGGGGGAUAACGUAGGGAAACUUACGCUAAUACCGCAUACGACCUACGGGUGAAAGCAGGGGAUCUUCGGACCUUGCGCGAUUGAAUGAGCCGAUGUCGGAUUAGCUAGUUGGCGGGGUAAAGGCCCACCAAGGCGACGAUCCGUAGUUGGUCUGAGAGGAUGAUCAGCCACACUGGAACUGAGACACGGUCCAGACUCCUACGGGAGGCAGCAGUGGGGAAUAUUGGACAAUGGGCGCAAGCCUGAUCCAGCCAUACCGCGUGGGUGAAGAAGGCCUUCGGGUUGUAAAGCCCUUUUGUUGGGAAAGAAAAGCAGCAGGUUAAUACCCCGCUGUUCCGACGGUACCCAAAGAAUAAGCACCGGCUAACUUCGUG